rnacentral:rRNA from 1 species
CUACGGGUUGCUGCAGUGGGGAAUAUUGCACAAUGGGCGCAAGCCUGAUGCAGCCAUGCCGCGUGUAUGAAGAAGGCCUUCGGGUUGUAAAGUACUUUCAGCGGGGAGGAAGGGAGUAAAGUUAAUACCUUUGCUCAUUGACGUUACCCGCAGAAGAAGCACCGGCUAAGUCCGUGCCAGCAGCCGCGGUAAUACGGAGGGUGCAAGCGUUAAUCGGAAUUACUGGGCGUAAAGCGCACGCAGGCGGUUUGUUAAGUCAGAUGUGAAAUCCCCGGGCUCAACCUGGGAACUGCAUCUGAUACUGGCAAGCUUGAGUCUCGUAGAGGGGGGUAGAAUUCCAGGUGUAGCGGUGAAAUGCGUAGAGAUCUGGAGGAAUACCGGUGGCGAAGGCGGCCCCCUGGACGAAGACUGACGCUCAGGUGCGAAAGCGUGGGGAACAAACAGGAUUAGAUACCCCAGUAGUC